AGCGAACGCUGGCGGCAGGCUUAACACAUGCAAGUCGAGCGGGCAUCCUUGUGGUGUCAGCGGCAGACGGGUGAGUAACGCGUGGGAACGUGCCCUUCGGUUCGGAUUAACUCAGGGAAACUUGAGCUAAUACCGGAUACGUGCGAGAGCAGAAAGGUUUAUCUGCCGAAGGAUCGGCCCGCGUCUGAUUAGCUAGUUGGUGAGGUUAUGGCUCACCAAGGCGACGAUCAGUAGCUGGUCUGAGAGGAUGAUCAGCCACACUGGGACUGAGACACGGCCCAGACUCCUACGGGAGGCAGCAGUGGGGAAUAUUGGACAAUGGGGGCAACCCUGAUCCAGCCAUGCCGCGUGAGUGAUGACGGCCUUAGGGUUGUAAAGCUCUUUUCUCCGGGACGAUAAUGACGGUACCGGAGGAAUAAGCCCCGACUAACUUCGUG
rnacentral:rRNA from 1 species